UAGAGUUUGAUCAUGGCUCAGAUUGAACGCUGGCGGCAGGCCUAACACAUGCAAGUCGAACGGUAACAGGAAGCAGCUUGCUGCUUCGCUGACGAGUGGCGGACGGGUGAGUAAUGUCUGGGAAGCUGCCUGAUGGAGGGGGAUAACUACUGGAAACGGUAGCUAAUACCGCAUAAUGUCGCAAGACCAAAGAGGGGGACCUUCGGGCCUCUUGCCAUCGGAUGUGCCCAGAUGGGAUUAGCUUGUUGGUGGGGUAACGGCUCACCAAGGCGACGAUCCCUAGCUGGUCUGAGAGGAUGACCAGCCACACUGGAACUGAGACACGGUCCAGACUCCUACGGGAGGCAGCAGUGGGGAAUAUUGCACAAUGGGCGCAAGCCUGAUGCAGCCAUGCCGCGUGUAUGAAGAAGGCCUUCGGGUUGUAAAGUACUUUCAGCGGGGAGGAAGGGAGUAAAGUUAAUACCUUUGCUCAUUGACGUUACCCGCAGAAGAAGCACCAGCGAACUCCGUGCCAGCAGCCGCGGUAAUA
rnacentral:rRNA from 1 species